GCUCCCACCUCUCGUCACUACUACUUGCUUCUAGUCCUCCACAGCCGUCCGCUAGUAACAAAUCAAGCCCUAAACAAAGUGAUAAUAUCAGUACAUUAACACGUUUGAUUUAGUGAUUUUUCUUUCAGUCCGGUGACUCCAGUCCAUUGAUUUGAACCUUUCUUAAUAGUGAAUAUAUGAUUUUAUGAAUCUUAAAAUUUGUGAUUUUUGAAUGGUUGAACUCAUCUGCUGCUAUAACCUGUUGGUCGUUUGUCAAUCUCUUGAAUAUGUGAUUUUGUCAAUUUAUGAUAUGUAAAUUUGCUUUGAAUAAUUGAUUCCUGAAUUGUGUUUGUGAUAUGUGAGAUUUAGUUUGGGAACUUUAUUGAAAAUUCAAAAUAGAGGUGGCAUUAUUAGGAAAAUGUGAAACCUUUAUGCUUAAAUUGUUGAAAAUAAAGUCA
rnacentral:lncRNA from 1 species